GGAUGUGGGAUUGCACAGACAACCAGGAUGUUGGCUUAGAAGCAGCCACUCAUUCAAAGAGUGCGUAAUAGCUCACUGGUCGAGUGAUCCUGCGCCGAAGAUUUCCGGGGCUAAAACUUACUACCGAAGCUACGGCAUCAGUAAUGAUGGGUAGGGGAGCUUCCCAUACGGGUUGAAGCAUGACCGUAAGGACAUGUGGACAGUAUGGGAGUGAGAAUGUUGGCAUGAGUAGCGAGAUGUGGGUGAGAAUCCACAGGCCGUAAACCCAAGGUUUCCAGGGGAAGGUUCGUCCGCCCUGGGUUAGUCGGGACCUAAGCUGAGGCCGAAAGGCGUAGGUGAUGGACAACAGGUUGAUAUUCCUGUACUACCGAUAACCGUUUGAGAGAAGGGAUGACACAGUAGGAUAAGCUAAGCACACUGUUGGUUAUGUGUGCCCAAGCAUUGAGGCAGUCAAAGUAGGCAAAUCCGCUUUGAUAAUGCUGGG
rnacentral:rRNA from 1 species